AUGAGGGCUGAGACUGACAUCAGUAUCCUCCUCUAUUUUGUUAAGAAUAUAUUUGUGAGGCCGGCGCCGCAGCUCAAUAGGCUAAUCCUCCGCCUUGCGGCGCUGGCACACCGGGUUCUAGUCCCGGUCAGGGCACCGGAUUCUGUCCCAGUUGCCCCUCUUCCAGGCCAGCUCUCUGCUGUGGCCAGGGAGUGCAGUGGAGGAUGGCCCAAGUGCUUGGGCCCUGCACCCCAUGGGAGACCAGGAGAAGCACCUGGCUCCUGCCAUUGGAUCAGCACGGUGCACCGGCUGUGGCGGCCAUUGGAAGGUGAACCAAUGGCAAAAGGAAGACCUUUCUCUCUGUCUCUCUCUCUCACUGUCCACUCUGCCUGUAAAAAAAAAAAAAAGAGAGAGAGAGAGAAUAUAUUUGUGGGGACUGGCAUUAUGGUGCAGAGGGUUAACCUGCCACCUGCCAUGCCAGCAUCCCAUAUUGGAACACCAGUUUCAGUCCCAGUUACUCCACUUCUGAUCCAGUUUCUUGCUAAUAAUGCACCUGAGAAAGUAGCAGAAGAUGGCCCAAGCACUUGGGCUCCUGCCACCCAUGUGGGAGACCCAGAUGGAGCUCCUGACUCUUGGCUUCAGCCUGGCCCAGCCCUGGCCAUUGCAGCCUUUUGGGAAGUGAAGCACCAGAUGGAAGAUCUCUCUCUUUCUCUCUCUGCCUUUCAAAUAAAACAGAUCUUUAAAUUUAUAUGUAAAUAUUUGUGUAUAUAUCUACCUAUAUUAAGCAAAUAUCUAGAUGUUCUUUCCUGUUAUUCCUUUUUUAAAAAAAGAUUUAUUUAUUUGAAAGGCAGAGAGUUUCAGAGAGGCAGAGGCAGUGAGAGAAGUCUUCCAUCCCCAAAUGGCCACAACAGCUGGAGCUGGGCUGAUUUGAAGCCAGGAUCCAGGAGCUUCUUCUGGGCCUCCCAAGGACCUGGGCCAUCUCCUACUGCUUUUCCAGACCAUAGCAGAGAUGAGAAAUGGAGCACCCAGGACCCGAACCAGCAUCCAUAUGGGAUGCUGGCAUUGAAGGUGGUGGCUUUGCCUGCUAUACCACAGCACUGGCCCCUCCUGUUAGUCCUUGUCAUAUCACAUGAGGUGAAUUGA
rnacentral:lncRNA from 1 species